AUGAAGUAUAUGCUGCCACCCAUUUCAUUGCAUCAGUGGGGGACAACUUUUAGCGUGAAGUGAAACUGUGGAAACACUCUUGGAAACAACAAGGCUGUUCCUCAGCAGAGGGCUAGUUGAAUGGAAGCUCUUCAGCAUUGAGUCAGGUAAUCCUUUUCCUUUAAUGAAAAUUUAGCUUUAAUUUAUCAUUUUCAUGAUUCAUCAUUAUUUUUUUUUUCUUUUCCUUGGCUAAGAUUGAAGUUCUCCCUCUGCACCGAGACAAAUGGGAUAUCUCUGUGUUCUUGCUGCAGCCAGCCAUGAGCCUGCUAUCCAAACAUCCCUGUGGAACAAUUCAGCUCCGGGGGACAUCAGACCCUGCACAGCAAGGAAUAAACAUUAGAGAAGCCACAGGAAACAAAACAGAGACUCUGAAGUUCAUUCAAUGCAUUUGCUCCACUUAAAGUAGAUAUAAGUCUCCUGAAAAUGAUCUUGCUUGAGCUAUGAUUUUCUUUGCUCUCUCUGGUGUGCUGAUCCUGUCAUUGCUGUUAUAUAGUGCAAUAAUACAU
rnacentral:lncRNA from 1 species